GCUACAGUGCUACUGGCCCAUAAUCAGGCAACUGCAGAGUCUUAGGGGGUUAUCUAAUGUAGUCUUGGGGUGGCUGGAUAGACUUCCCAAAGAAGGUGAUGCCGAAGCUGAGGUCGGAAAUUACGAAGAUCAGCUAUCAAACUUGGAAAUCAUGUCUUAGAGAUCAAGGAGCCAAGAGAUGAGACAAGCCUGGGUUCCUAGGUGAUAGGGUGUGGCUGUGUCCCCACCCAAAUCUCGUCUUGAAUUGUAGCUCCCAUAAUCCCCACAUGUUGUGGAGGGACCCUGUGGAAGAUCUUUAAUAAAUGAAAUAAAUGUGACUGUAUGUCCUACAUCCCAUUCCUGUUGUCUUCCAUGUCUCCUCAGAGAUUGUGCCUGCAGCCUGGCCUGUUGCCCACAGCGGUCUACCUGCCACACUGGGAAAGAUCGAGCAGAGACAGAGAAGAAAAGGAGGCUCCAUUUUUCAGGCUGCUCUCCCGCAGGCUCAUGUUUUGUGUUCAUGCCAGGCAGAGAACACAAAAUGUUCCAAUAAAUAAGUAUCAAAGGUUAGUGGUGAAAAUGAAGGAGGAGGAGGCAUUGCGUGAAAAACUAAACAUGCAAAAUAUUACACACAAAGAGAACCAAAAUGCAGGUUCACUGGAAAUGAUAGACAAUAUGUUAAAACAAGAGGAGAGAAGAGAGCUGAAAUAAUCAAAUGGAAACACACAAUUUAGGGCUAAGAUCUUGUUGUGUUCAGCCACAAAUGAUGGCCAGCAGUGAGGAAUCUGUGUGUUCUCCACACUCUUCGCUCCUGGGAAGUCAACUCACAUGGACCAUGAUAUCAAUAUCUGCUCCUUCCCCUAAUAUCUGUUUGACCUUGGGUCAGUUACUUAAACUUCCUAAGCCUUAGUUUCUUUGUCUGGAAAAUAGGGAUAGUUAUACCUACCACACAACCACUUUGUAAUGAAUAUGUUGGAAAUUAUAUGCAAAUUGGCUUCCGUUGGUGUUUGGAACAUAGUAGGUUUUUAACUGGAAUAUAAUAGCUACCAUUAUCAGUAUCAUCAUAUUAAUUUAUAUUUCCAUCUUCAGCCCUUAACCCAGGAUCUUCAGUAAAUGUUGAAUUCUCAAAUUUGUUAAAUUCACUUGUCUAUACUAAUAUUUUACUCUAGGUUUCUUAGAAUAUUCUAGAUAAUAUUAUUAUGUAGAAUAUGUUAUGUAAGCUUCAUCUUAUCUGUAAAUAUAGUUUUACUUUUUCCUUUCUAAUUUUUAUGUCGAUUACUUCUUUUUCUUGGCUUAUUGAAUUGGCUAGGAUUCCCGUACAGUGUUGAAUACGUGCAGCAAGACUGCACAUCUUGCCUUGUUCCUGGUCCCACAGAGAGAAUAUCCAGUACUUCACAAUAAGUAUGUGUUAAUUGUAGAUUUUAUUAGAUUGAGGAAGUUCCCUUUCCUUUCAAGUCAGUCUUUUUAUUUUAAACAUGUAUUGAAGUUUUGUCAAAUGUCUUCAUCUAUUGGAAUAAUUAUACAUAUCUCUUUUUUAUUCUGUUAAUAUUACAUUUCAAUCUUCUGUCUACCUAAAAUCCCUAGAAUAAUCUCCAUUUGGCUAUGAUGUGUUGUGCUUUUAUAUAUUACUGAAUUCUAUAUGCCAAUAUUAUUAAAAUUUUCUGUCUUUAUGAGAAAUAUUUGAAUGUAUAUUUUUUCAUGUAUUUGUUUUGAUUUUAUUUUCAAUGCCAUUUUGUAAAAGAGCAUUAAAGUGUUAGUAUGAAAGUA
ensembl:lncRNA CCDC26 CCDC26 long non-coding RNA